GUAAUCUCAAAUUUAGUUGUCAUUACUGCCUGAAUUUACCGAAUCCAGUAUUAAAUUGACUGAAGAUUCCUGGUAAGACUUCAAGAGUUCGAGAAAUGUUUCAUCCAGCUGAAAAGUGCCGAUGCGGCACCAUUCGAAAUCCAGAGCAAGGAAUUCAUAAAACGCACAACAAUCAUCUGGACAACUUGAAGUUUUCCCUCGAGAAAGAGUCCGAAACAAAGGAGCAGUAUGUUAAAUAUAGCGGUAUCAUUACAACCGUUGAAUGAAUAUGUUACGGUGGAUUAUAAUCGAGACCUUCGAUAGCAACUUGUGGCUUACACAACAAUUUGAUAACGUUUGUGACGGAGAGGAAUUGCAGGAACUAUCUGCUUAUGAGAAGGAAAGGACGUUCUGAUCUUUGCUAUUCCAUCUGAAAUCAUAUGGCGGAAAAGGAUCACUAAAAGAUGGUACUCGAUGGGCUACGCUAGCAUAAUAUGUUAAUUACUAUGGAGACAGCUAUCCGGAUAACUAUGAAGCAGAUGUAGAUUGAAUCCCGUCAAACGGCAUUGACUUAUAAAUGAUGCUUCUGUCAGGAUUCGUGAUCGCUCACCCUUCUUUGUUACGACACUACGAUUAGUACCUCAACCUAAACCGUAUUCUGGUGAUGAAGAAAGCUACUCAACGUACUAGUCGGAUAUCGAAUUUCCACCAGCAAGAUGCAGCAGUUUGUAAUGCCCGAGAUAUGCACACGAUUAAGAGACGAGCUAAACUUAUGCAGCAAAUAGGUGUGAAUGCAAACAAACUGCACACAUAAUUCAGUGCACAGGUGAAUAUUUAUAACUUACUGUUAUUCGUGCAUUUUAAUUUAUUUCGCGAGCAUAUAACUGCUUCGUUCUUGUCGUUAGCAAAGCUUUUACUAACAGGUCGUUAAUGUUUAAACUUGAUCGAUCAUUCUGACUCCCUGUUUGCUAUCCUCGUAUAUACCGUACGUGGUAUAUAUGUAUGUUUUCCUUCAGAGCUCUAACGUAGGUUAAUCAUAAUCCUAGAAGUAUUUUUCAAUUGAACUAUAUUCUCUUCACAAUUUCGUCUAAAUAUAAUCCAAUGUUAGUGCAGUGUGACUAUUCGGAAAUUUGUUGGGAAUCUUGAACAGGUUCCAUUGCAAAAGGUUGUUACAUUUAAGCGGUAAACCACAUUGAAUCCAUUCAGAAUUCCAAAGCUUCUCGAACGGGUUAUUUGAGUUUUUGUGUACAUUGGGGCUUUUUCAUAAUUUGAAAAUAAUAAAGAAGAAAUAGAAAUGUUCAAUUUACAUAUAGUACUGCAACUGUUCUAUUUAAAAGAUAUCACAAAACCUUUUAAAUCA